CGUACACUCCUACGGGAGGCAGCAGUGGGGAAUCUUGCGCAAUGGGCGAAAGCCUGACGCAGCCAUGCCGCGUGAAUGAUGAAGGUCUUAGGAUUGUAAAAUUCUUUCACCGGGGACGAUAAUGACGGUACCCGGAGAAGAAGCCCCGGCUAACUUCGUGCCAGCAGCCGCGGUAAUACGAAGGGGGCUAGCGUUGCUCGGAAUUACUGGGCGUAAAGGGAGCGAAGGCGGACAUUUAAGUCAGGGGUGAAAUCCCGGGGCUCAACCUCGGAAUUGCCUUUGAUACUGGGUGUCUUGAGUAUGAGAGAGGUGUGUGGAACUCCGAGUGUAGAGGUGAAAUUCGUAGAUAUUCGGAAGAACACCAGUGGCGAAGGCGACACACUGGCUCAUUACUGACGCUGAGGCUCGAAAGCGUGGGGAGCAAACAGGAUUAGAAACCCCAGUAGUCCCA
rnacentral:rRNA from 1 species